rnacentral:rRNA from 1 species
AUGCACGCUGGCGGCGUGCCUAAUACAUGCCAGUCGAGCGAACAGACGAGGAGCUUGCUCCUCUGACGUUAGCGGCGGACGGGUGAGUAACACGUGGAUAACCUACCUAUAAGACUGGGAUAACUUCGGGAAACCGGAGCUAAUACCGGAUAAUAUAUUGAACCGCAUGGUUCAAUAGUGAAAGACGGUUUUGCUGUCACUUAUAGAUGGAUCCGCGCCGCGUUAGCUAGUUGGUAAGGUAACGGCUUACCAAGGCGAAGAUGCGUAGCCGACCUGAGAGGGUGAUCGGCCACACUGGAACUGAGACACGGUCCAGACUCCUACGGGAGGCAGCAGUAGGGAAUCUUCCGCAAUGGGCGAAAGCCUGACGGAGCAACGCCGCGUAAGUGAUGAAGGUCUUCGGAUCGUAAAACUCUGUUAUUAGGGAAGAACAAAUGUGUAAGUAACUAUGCACGUCUUGACGGUACCUAAUCAGAAAGCCACGGCUAACUACGUG